GCCCUUAUAGCUCAGUGGUAGAGCGUUGCACUUGUAUGCGUAAAUUGCGCUUGAACGCUUACGUAAUCACUAUGCAAAGGUCCGUUGUUCAAUCCAGCGUGGGGGCA